AUUGAACGCUGGCGGCAGGCUUAACACAUGCAAGUCGAACGAGUGGCGGACGGGUGAGUAAUGCUUGGGAAUCUAGCUUAUGGAGGGGGAUAACUACGGGAAACUGUAGCUAAUACCGCGUACCAUAGGCUGAGCCCAAGUGGGAUUAGGUAGUUGGUGCGGUAAAGGCUCACCAAGCCGACGAUCUCUAGCUGGUCGGAGAGGCUGACCGGCCAAACUGGGACUGAGACACGGCCCAGACUCCUACGGGAGGCAGCAGUGGGGAAUAUUGGGCAAUGGGGGCAACCUGACGCAGCCAUGCCGCGUGAAUGAAGAAGGCUUUCGGGUUGUAAAGUUCUUUCGGUAGCGAGGCGUUAACUACAGAAGAAGCACCGGCUAACUCCGUGCCAGCAGCCGCGGUAAUAC
rnacentral:rRNA from 1 species